UACGUAGGUGGCGAGCGUUGUCCGGAUUUACUGGGCGUAAAGAGCGCGCAGGCGGCUGGGCAAGUCCGAUGUGAAAGCUUCCGGCUUAACUGGAAAAUUGCAUCGGAAACUGCUCGGCUUGAAGGUGGGAGAGGGUAGCGGAAGUUCCCGGUGUAGUGGUGAAAUGCGCAGAUAUCAGGAGGAACACCGGGUGGCGAAGGC
rnacentral:rRNA from 1 species